GACCAAAGGAAUUCAAGACUCCAUCAAUGCCGAGUUCUUUAAAGCCAUGUAAUGGUGUGCAUAAGUGGCGCUUUGCCAAAAGACCGUUGUUUGAUAUUGCAACACCUGAAGCUGGGAACACAACGGAGUCCUGGAUUUGCUUGCAUUGUGAUGAAAAGAUUCGUCCCCUGAAAUUUGUAUCUUAUCCGGAGUACCGUCAACAUUUAACUGAAAUUCACAACGAGGUUUUAGAUCCGGCCUUAUGUGUAAAGUGCGGUUGGCGUUCGAGUAAUGGGCUUGAUCUCGACUUCCACAUGUAUAAGCAGCACCAAAUCCCUUCGUUAUUUUAUUCAUUUUCAAAGAACGAUUUUUCAACAUCCCUCUUGGCAAAGUAAUUUCAAGUCAUAUCCUAUGAUAUUAUUUUGUUUACAACGAUGACUUGAGUUAGGUAUUAACUUUAAGAAAUAUUUAAAUAUUAACUCAGGUUUACAUACUACUUUCUUUAUUUUUUUAUUAGAAUUAAACCUUAUGACUAUUGAAGAAAUAAUAUUAGUAACAAUCAAGAUAAUUUCCAUUGCGUUUAGGUUGAUUUAUUAAGAAAAAGAAUUAAUACCGAAGCAAAUAUUGAUAUGUUCUAAAUCGAAUUUAGUUGCAUUCCAAACUGAAUCUCAAAAAUUUAAGAAAUAUUGAAAAAUGCAUUCGAACAUAAUUUGAAUCAAUGUCUUUUGCUUUCAGCUAUAAAGCGUAUCAAUUUGUUUUUCCCCUUUUUUAUUUUUUUUUGGAUUUUACAUUGCUUGUUAUGGUUGGACAUACAAAAAAAAAUUACAUCAUCACAUACAUUAAACAUACAUACAAUAAAUUAGUUUAUAAUUACUACCAUUUUUGAAUAAAGACUUGUUAUUAAUUUAAACUCGAAUCUUGAAUACUUUUCAUCGUACGCUGUAAGAAAACAAUCUAAAAUGUUAUCAGACUGUUUAAUGUACAGCGUACAAAUAAUAUUAACAUUGAAAGAGAUGCACGAAAAUUGCACAAUCGCUAUAAUUAAUUUUUUCGCUUAGCACUGACAAUAUUAAAUCAGCCGCGGCAUUGAUUUGGUGCAAGCAAAGUAUUAACUAAAGCGAAUACAUUUUCAUUGAACCAAAAUGACACAUGUCUCAAAUGUAUAUUUUGUAGCCUGUCCUGCACAGAGAAAAGUCGGUAGUUAUAUACAUGAGCAUGGGCAAAGAUGGUUCAGAAGAAACAAAAGAAAUAUACGGUUUAUAACAUGGCAAUGUUUUAGUUGCGUUUGCAUUUUUCAUUAAGCUCUGUGCCCAAA